rnacentral:rRNA from 1 species
UACGUAGGGUGCGAGCGUUAAUCGGAAUUACUGGGCGUAAAGCGUGCGCAGGCGGUUAUGUAAGACAGAUGUGAAAUGCCCGGGCUUAACCUGGGAACUGCAUUUGUGACUGCAUGGCUAGAGUGUGUCAGAGGGGGGGUAGAAUUCCACGUGUAGCAGUGAAAUGCGUAGAUAUGUGGGAGGAAUACCGAUGGCGAAGGCAGUCCCCUGGGCCUGUACUGACGCUCAUGGCACGAAAGCGUGGGGGAGCAAACAGG